AUCAACGCGAUCUAAACAAGCAACAAUGGAUUUCUCGCCAGCUAAGGAAUUCCAAUCCCUGGAUGUGGAGAGUAAUUCAUCAAUGGUGUCGAGGAAGGCUGAGGCAUCGGCGGAAACAGACCAAAUGGGCUGAUCAGCCAAGACAUAUUGAGAGAUCUGUUGAUCAAGAGAUUUCAGAGUCUGCUCCAAGGCAGCAUAACUUCGAGGAUCGUCGCUGUUGAUCUUCUCAGACAACUUCUCUCUGGAGAAGCGGGCGUCGAAGGAGAAGAACAACUGAAGAAUGUCAUCAGCCAUGGUCUCGGUCCGGCCAAGGGUCUUAGCAAUGUGGCGAGCCACAACGAUGAGUUUGUCUUCACCAUUUUCAUCCAUUAACGUUUGAUUGCACCUAUCCACUUCUAUCC